AGUGAACGCUGGCGGCGGGCCUAAUACAUGCAAGUCGAACGAACAGACAGUAAGCGCUCGCUCCUAACGGUGGCGGCUGGCGGGUGGGUGAGAAGUAGAUAAGCAUCUUAUUUUACGUGGGGAAUUUCGUGGAACCGGUUCUAAUAAUGCAGAACAUGAUGUACCGCAUGAAGCAACAGUUCAUGGCGGCCUUCCCGACUCCAUUAGCUAAAGCCGGGCCGCAUUGUCGAGUGGGUAAGGUAACAGCCUACCAAGGCAACGUAGCGUAGCCGAGCUGAGAGGGUGAUCGGCCACACUGGAACUGAGACACGGUCCAGACUCCUACGGGAGGCAGCAGUAGGGAAUCUUGCGCAAUGGGCGAAAGCCUGACGCAGCAAAGCCGCGUGAGUGAAGAAGGUCUUCGGAUCGUAAAACUCUGUUAUUAGGGAAGAACAACUGUGUAAGUAACUCUGCACGUCUUGACGGUACCUAAUCAGAAAGCACCGGCUAACUACGUG
rnacentral:rRNA from 1 species